CUAACUUCAAAUAAAAAUUAUUACGCGAUUUAUGAAACAAAUUCAGAAAAUAUUUGUUCAAUAAAACAAAAACCCACCUGAGGGUAGGUGGAAAAUAGUCCCUCCGCCGAUUGGCGGAGAUAACUCAGCUAUAUGCUGGAACACCCGAGUAUCCAACGAUACCGAAAGGUAAAAAUGCGUUGGUGCGGGCAAUCAGCAGGGAAGUCGUAAUUGACCCCUCAGAGACUAUACGCAGAGCCCGUUGCGGAGCAACGGAAUUACGAAUUUAGAAUUUCGAAUUUUGGUUGAGCAUCCAAUUAAAAAUUUGAAAUUAAAAAUUAGGAAUUCCGCGCUUUGCGCGGUGAAGAUAUAGUCCGACCUCCGUGGCGACACGGAG
rfam:Parcubacteria (Jorgensenbacteria) bacterium GW2011_GWA2_45_9 TX22_C0021, whole genome shotgun sequence.